UACAGAGGGGGCAAGCGUUGUUCGGAAUUACUGGGCGUAAAGGGCGCGUAGGCGGCCUGUUAAGUCGAACGUGAAAUCCCCGGGCUCAACCCGGGAACUGCGUCCGAUACUGGCAGGCUUGAAUCCGGGAGAGGGAUGCGGAAUUCCAGGUGUAGCGGUGAAAUGCGUAGAUAUCAAGCGGAACACCGGUGGCGAAGGCGACCUUCUGGACAGAUACUGACGCUGAGACACGAAAGCGUGGGGAGCAAACAGG
rnacentral:rRNA from 1 species